rnacentral:rRNA from 1 species
UACCUGGCGGCGGCUUACACAUGCAAGUCGAGCGGGGGAGAUUACUUCGGUAAUUGACCUAGCGGCGGACGGGUGAGUAAUACUUAGGAAUCUGCCUAUUAAUGGGGGACAACAUCUCGAAAGGGAUGCUAAUACCGCAUACGCCCUACGGGGGAAAGCA